UACGUAGGGGGCAAGCGUUGUCCGGAUUUAUUGGGCGUAAAGAGCGUGUAGGCGGCCUGGUAGGUCAGCUGUGAAAACUCGAGGCUCAACCUCGAGACGUCGGUUGAAACCACCUGGCUAGAGUCCGGAAGAGGAGAGUGGAAUUCCCGGUGUAGCGGUGAAAUGCGCAGAUAUCGGGAAGAACACCCGUGGCGAAGGCGGCUCUCUGGGACGGUACUGACGCUGAGGCACGAAAGCGUGGGGAGCAAACAGG
rnacentral:rRNA from 1 species